CUACUAUCUUCAUUAAUACAUGUAUCUUCAUUUCAUGUUAAGGCUCUUUUUAAGAAUAACUUUUCUUUGUUAUAUGUUAAGGUUAAUUGUGUAUGUUCUAUAUUAUAUGGUUUUACUUGUUCUAACCAUUUUAUUCCUAAUAUUAUAUCUGCUUUUUGCAUUUCUUCCUUUACUUCGAAUUCUAUUUUUAUUUUUCUAACUCCUAUUAUUAUUUCUUUUUUUGCUAUAUUUUUAUUAUUUAUUAAACUUCUUGGUAGAUCUGGGCACAUAUCAUUAUCAGUCUUUAUUUCUUCAUUUUUUACUAGAUAUUUUGCUAUAUAAUUUUCUUCUUGUCCUGUAUUCAAAAGUAUUAGAUAUUCUUUUUCAUUUAUUUUUUCUGUUAUGUAAUAGUGGUUUAAAUUACUUAUUGAAUUUAUUUCAUAACUUGUUCUUUUUGAUGAGCUUGAUGAUUCUGGUUUUUCAUCAGCUAUUCUUUUCGUUGUACUUAUUCUAUCAUUUACUAUUUCUAAAUUUUCUU
rnacentral:lncRNA from 1 species